rnacentral:rRNA from 1 species
UACGAAGGGGGCUAGCGUUGCUCGGAAUCACUGGGCGUAAAGGGUGCGUAGGCGGGUUUUUAAGUCAGAGGUGAAAUCCUGGAGCUCAACUCCAGAACUGCCUUUGAUACUGAAAGUCUUGAGUACGGGAGAGGUGAGUGGAACUGCGAGUGUAGAGGUGAAAUUCGUAGAUAUUCGGAAGAACACCAGUGGCGAAGGCGGCUCACUGGCCCGGUACUGACGCUGAGGUGCGAAAGCGUGGGGAGCAAACAGG